UUCAAACUUUAGGGGUGCCUUUACGGGCUGAGAUUAUACCCUCAAAACCUGAUGCAGGUAAUGCUGCCGAAGGAAAAAGAAUUUGAUGUCUU
rnacentral:ncRNA from 2 species